CUAUAGAUGCAGUCGAACGGCAGCACAGGAGAGCUUGCUCUCUGGGUGGCGAGUGGCGGACGGGUGAGGAAUACAUCGGAAUCUACUUUUUCGUGGGGGAUAACGUAGGGAAACUUACGCUAAUACCGCAUACGACCUACGGGUGAAAGCAGGGGAUCUUCGGACCUUGCGCGAUUGAAUGAGCCGAUGUCGGAUUAGCUAGUUGGCGGGGUAAAGGCCCACCAAGGCGACGAUCCGUAGCUGGUCUGAGAGGAUGAUCAGCCACACUGGAACUGAGACACGGUCCAGACUCCUACGGGAGGCAGCAGUGGGGAAUAUUGGACAAUGGGCGCAAGCCUGAUCCAGCCAUACCGCGUGGGUGAAGAAGGCCUUCGGGUUGUAAAGCCCUUUUGUUGGGAAAGAAAUCCAACUGGUUAAUACCCGGUUGGGAUUACAGUUCCCAAAGAAAAAACACCCGCUAAUUUCAUGUCACCAACCUGCGUAGGACAGAAGGG
rnacentral:rRNA from 1 species